GAACGAACGCUGGCGGCAGGCCUAACCCAUGCAAGUCGAGCGGACAUCUUCGGAUGUUAGCGGCGGACGGGUGAGUAACGCGUGGGAACGUGCCCUUUGCUUCGGAAUAGCCUCGGGAAACUGGGAGUAAUACCGGAUGUACCCUUUGGGGGAAAGAUUUAUCGGCAAAGGAUCGGCCCGCGUUGGAUUAGGUAGUUGGUGGGGUAAUGGCCUACCAAGCCGACGAUCCAUAGCUGGUUUGAGAGGAUGAUCAGCCACACUGGGACUGAGACACGGCCCAGACUCCUACGGGAGGCAGCAGUGGGGAAUCUUAGACAAUGGGGGAAACCCUGAUCUAGCCAUGCCGCGUGAGCGAUGAAGGCCUUAGGGUUGUAAAGCUCUUUCACCGGGGAAGAUAAUGACGGUACCCGGAGAAGAAGCCCCGGCUAACUCCGUG
rnacentral:rRNA from 1 species